AAGCAAAUAUUCUGCUCGGGGCCGAGGAGACCACUCCGUACGAUGUUUACGCGCGUUCUCCUGCGUCAUGUUUUCUGUGAGACCUCUCAGAUGUUUCCAGAAGAAAGCGAAGGAAAGAAAAUCGAGGAGGUCACGUUUCUAGACAUCUCAAGCUCCAGAUCCAAACUCCCGCCCAAGGAACCGCGCACUUUUGGGAGAGCCCAGGGUGUCUCAGACAGCUCUGACAUGUAGCUGGCCCGGAUGCCCAGGACUGCCUGAGGCUUCUUGGGAUGGUAAGUAAAUGCACAUAUUUUAAAACUUGGAGCCAGAUUUCAAAGGGGCUUUGUAUGUGUUUUUACAAUUAAACCAAGAAAAAAAAAAAUCCUCUCUAUUUUGCGAUGCAGGUAUAGCUCUUUUGAAGCCGGGUGGAAAGCCAGCCAGAUUUAUGAAAGUAGUUACCACACUGAAACUUUAGAAGCUGCCUCCGGUCCUUCUCAGGAUGACGCCCGCUAUGAAAAUCAACAGGCAAAUACAAAUGUAAUUAAAAUAUUAUCACAAAAAUGUAGAUCAGCGUCAACGGGAUCCAAGACAAGAACUUUGACAGGGGAUUUAGGCAGA
rnacentral:lncRNA from 1 species